rnacentral:rRNA from 1 species
AGCUCCAAUAGCGUAUAUUUAAGUUGUUGCAGUUAAAAAGCUCGUAGUUGGAUUUCGGAUGGGGACAACCGGUCCGCCGUUUCGGUGUGCACUGGUGGUGUCCAUCUUAAUGCCGGGGACGCGCUCCUGGCCUUAAUUGGCUGGGACGUGGAGUCGGCGAUGUUACUUUGAAAAAAUUAGAGUGUUCAAAGCAGGCCUAAGCUCUGAAUACAUUAGCAUGGAAUAACGCGAUAGGACUCUGGUCUUAUUGUGUUGGUCUUCGAGACCGGAGUAAUGAUUAAGAGGGACAGUUGGGGGCAUUCGUAUUUCAUUGUCAGAGGUGAAAUUCUUGGAUUUAUGAAAGACGGACUACUGCGAAAGCAUUUGCCAAGGAUGUUUUCAUUA